rnacentral:rRNA from 1 species
CCUACGGGAGGCUGCAGUGAGGAAUAUUGGUCAAUGGACGAGAGUCUGAACCAGCCAAGUAGCGUGAAGGAUGACUGCCCUAUGGGUUGUAAACUUCUUUUAUAUGGGAAUAAAACGUUCCACGUGUGGGAUUUUGUAUGUACCAUAUGAAUAAGGAUCGGCUAACUCCGUGCCAGCAGCCGCGGUAAUACGGAGGAUCCGAGCGUUAUCCGGAUUUAUUGGGUUUAAAGGGAGCGUAGGUGGAUUGAUAAGUCAGUUGUGAAAGUUUGCGGCUCAACCGUAAAAUUGCAGUUGAAACUGGCAGUCUUGAGUACAGUAGAGGUGGGCGGAAUUCGUGGUGUAGCGGUGAAAUGCUUAGAUAUCACGAAGAACUCCGAUUGCGAAGGCAGUUCACUGGACUGCAACUGACACUGAGGCUCGAAAGUGUGGGUAUCAAACAGGAUUAGAUACCCUAGUAGUC